rnacentral:rRNA from 1 species
AACGAACGCUGGCGGCAUGCCUAACACAUGCAAGUCGAACGAGACCUUCGGGUCUAGUGGCGCACGGGUGCGUAACGCGUGGGAACCUGCCCUUAGGUUCGGAAUAACUCCCCGAAAGGGGUGCUAAUACCGGAUAAUGUCUUCGGACCAAAGAUUUAUCGCCUUUGGAUGGGCCCGCGUUGGAUUAGCUAGUUGGUAGGGUAAAAGCCUACCAAGGCGACGAUCCAUAGCUGGUCUGAGAGGAUGAUCAGCCACACUGGGACUGAGACACGGCCCAGACUCCUACGGGAGGCAGCAGUGGGGAAUAUUGGACAAUGGGCGAAAGCCUGAUCCAGCAAUGCCGCGGGAGUGAUGAAGGCCUUAGGGUUGUAAAGCUCUUUUACCCGGGAUGAAAUGACAGUACCGGGAGAAUAAGCUCCGGCUAACUCCGUG